AUGCCUCUAUACUGUAGUACUGUGAUGCCUCUAUACUAUAGUACUGUUAUGCCUCACAGUAGGUUACAGUCUCACAACAGAGAUCACAGUAGGUUACAGUCUCAUAACAGAGAUCACAGUAGGUUACAGUCUCACAACAGAGAUCACAGUAGGUUACAGUCUCAUAACAGAGAUCACAGUAGGUCACAGUCUCACAACAGCGAUCACAUUAGGUUACAGUCUCACAACAGAGAUCACAGUAGGUUACAGUCUCACAACAACAGAGAUCACAGUAGGUUACAGUCUCAUAACAACAGAGAUCACAGUAGAUUACAGCCUCUUAACAACAGAGAUCACAGUAGGUCACAGUCUCAUAACAACAGAGAUCACAGUAGGUUACAGUCUCACAACAUAGAUCACAGUAGGUUACAGUCUCAUAACAGAGAUCACAGUAGGUUACAGUCUCAUAACAGAGAUCACAGUAGGUCACAAUCUCACAACAGAGAUCACAGUAGGUUACAGUCUCAUAACAGAGAUCACAGUAGGUUACAGUCUCAUAACAGAGAUCACAGUAGGUUACAGUCUCACAACAUAGAUCACAGUAGGUUACAGUCUCAUAACAGAGAUCACAGUAGGUCACAAUCUCACAACAGAGAUCACAGUAGGUUACAGUCUCACAGCAGAGAUCACAGUAGGUUACAGUCUCACAACAACAGAGAUCACAGUAGGUCACAGUCUCAUAACAACAUAGAUCACAGUAGGUUACAGUCUCACAACAUAGAUCACAGUAGGUUACAGUCUCACAACAACAGAGAUCACAGUAGGUUACAGUCUCACAACAUAGAUCACAGUAGAUUACAGCCUCUUAACAACAGAGAUCACAGUAGGUCACAGUCUCAUAACAACAGAGAUCACAGUAGAUUACAGUCUCACAACAUAGAUCACAGUAGAUUACAGUCAGAGGCAUUGAGAGUCAAGCAACUUAAUAGAGAAAUGGUGCUUACAGAAUUCUUUGUUGUUGACGCUAAGAGGAGAUGA
rnacentral:lncRNA from 1 species